UUAGCCUCUUUGCUCAAACAGGUGCUCUUUCCAAACAUCCCUUCUCUACUUCUUCUGUCUGAAAUUUCAAUGCCUUGAACAACCAACAGGGCUUUGCUGGAGCUGCUGGUUACCUGUCCAAACAAAUGAAAAGAAUUAUCAUAUCAUGGUUUAGAUUGGAAAGGACGUUAAAGAUCACCCAGUUCCAGCCCUCCUGCCAUGGGCAGGGACACCUUCCACUAGACCAGGGUGCUCAGAGCCCAUCCAGACUGGCCUUGAGCACUUCUAUGCAUGGGGCACCCACAGUUUCUUUGGACAACCUGUUCCAUUAUCUCACCACCCUUACAGUAAAGAAUUUAUUCCUCAUGUCCAAUCUAAAUCUCCCUUCUUUGAGUCUAAAACCAUUAUCCCUCAUGUGUUCUGAAUAGGUGGCCAUGCUCAUCUUUCCUGUAGACCUCCUUUAAGUACUAUAACACUGCUAUAGGGCCUUCCCAGAGUCGUCCCCAGGCUAAAUAAGCCCAGCUCUCAGCCUUUUCCUCACAGGGUUGGUGCUCCAGCACCCUGAUAAUUUUUGUGGCCCUCUGCACCUUUUCUAACAGGUCCAUGUCAUUUUUAGGCUUGGGAACUCCAGAGCUGGAUGCAGCACUGCAGGUGGGGUCUCACCAGAGGGAAGUAGAAGGGCAGAACCAGAUCCCUCAACCUGCUGGCCACACUGCUUUUAAUGCAGCUCAAAAUGCAGAUGGCUUUUUAGGCCCUGAGUGCACAUUGCCAGUUAAUAUUCAGUCUUUCAUCUACAGAUUAUCAUUGUUAAUAAUUAAUCAUACAUUAAUAAUUUUUGUUAUCAAUAUUUCAUUUGCUGCUGAGGAAGGACAUAGUGAGUAAUAUAAAGUCAGGGCCUGUCACGACUGUUGCAUACAUUUUCUUCUUUUAGUUUGAAUUCUAGCAGGGUAAUAAGGUGAUAGGAGUAAGUGGUAUUCCUAAAUAAGUGAUGAAUCAACAGCUUCCAUUGGGUAAACUGUGUCCAGCUCUUUCGUUACCUAUUUAUGACCUAUAAAAUUUGCUUUAUUCCCCUGUAUGAAAAAGAUCAGCUCACAACCUUUCUUCCUUUUGGUUGAGGAUUGACAGCAGAUCAUUGAAGGCUUUAAACCAAUAGGUCACAGAAAGAGAAAAUCUGAUGAGAAAUUCUCCCAGCCUUAACUGGGUGGAAUACAAAUUCAAUUCUAUACCAGCAAUUAAAGCUUUAAUUUUAUCCCUUUGAAAUCCUUCACUUGGUAUUUGUCAGAGAUUUGCAGAAAGUUACUUUCUUCAGACUGAGCAGAUUAUCAGAGGCUGCUAGAAAGAGACAGAACUUAGAGCAUGGCUUCCAACAGAACUUUCUACUCUUUUCCAAUUGAGUUUCUUGUCAGUCUGUGACUCGUAUUUAUCUUCUUUUCCUGCUUAUUAAAGCUGCCAUACUUAUGACUGAAAAUACUAGGGAAGGCUUUGGUCUAAUCAAAGAAAAUCCCCUUUUCAAUCUCCUUUGCAUAGGAGGUUGUUCAUCAGCAGAGAGCAGAGCUAGAGGAAUGCGGCUGGGGAAGAAGCAAAGAAAAUGUGUUUCCAUUGGCUGUCAGGAAUCUGAUUUUUACCAAUAUAUUAUAUCCCACUGCAAGAGGCUGCCCCAUGCUCACAAGUAGUUUGUCCUUGCUGGUUGUAAUCUAAAUACCCAGACAUCCCUACUGAAGAGCUGUAUAUAUGUUUUCCACUUGGGACACCCAUGGGGUUCUCUAGAAUACAACAGGUGACAAACAAGAAUCUUGCAAAAUGCUUCUGUUCCUGAUCAGGGAGGUGCCACUGCUCCCAGUACCAGCUGCAUAAUGAGGAUUGCAAGGACACACAACAGGCAGGGAGGUACUUCCCAGAGCCUGCAAGUUGAUGCAUUUACAGACACAUCCUGAAGAUGUGUCCCUUCAUGAAUGAAAAUUGAGUAAAAUAGCCAUAGUUACUCAACAGUAAUGAAUACUACUAAACUUGUUUUUAUAUUUUUAAGAUUUUUUUCAAAAGGUUCUGGUGUUGGCAAGAAGCAAGGCUUUUCCUACUGUGGUUGGUGGCAGAAUUACACAGGCAUUUGGGAGUCUCUUCUGUAGUCCUGAGAAAAGAAGAACCAGACUCACAAAGGUUUCUGCUUAAUUGGAAUCAGGUCAAAACUUUCCCUUUCUAGGUCAAACACUAUUUUCUAAUUCCAGAUGUGAGAUGCAAACAGUGCAAUACCUCUGACAGUCCCAGAAACAAGAGUCUUUCAUGUCAUGACUUGGUUUCAUCUGAAUCAUUCAGCACAGACUAGUUCAAGUAAAGGACAAAGCAGAGACUUGAUCUCAUACCCCUACACACGCUGUCACUACAGAAGGCACAGUGACUCACUGCACAUAACUAUGCAGCAAAAAAUUAGCAGUAAAAAACUUGAGCAAAUCCAAAACCUGUCCACAAAGCAUUUCAGUUUUGAAUCUGUUUUGACAAAUUCUCUAUCAUAAAAAAAACCUGUCUGAUAGAGCCGAGGCAGCAAAGCUGCUGUGUUUUUCAUCAUCUGAGAUGUUCCCCUUCUGGAAAGCACAUCUGCUGAGAUAAAGGGAUAAUUCUGUCAUGUUGGUAUCUUACAACAAAGACCUAUGUGAAAAUUUUCCAUCAAAACCGAUAAGGCAAACUGGGAUUUUGAUUAAAUAGGAAAAAGCACAGUUUUCCACUGGAAGAAAAAUCACCCAAACCAAGCAGAAAACCUCUCAGGGGCUUUGCUACUGCAGUGCUUCAAAAUAAAAUAAGUUCCUUCUCCUCCCUGGAAUCUCACUCGACCCUGUUGGCCAAGCAGCCUAGUUGAUCUAUCCAUCUCACAGAUUAUGGAUUAUCCCUUGGACCUCUCUCCGAGGGAUAAUCACUGAAAAAGUACUUCAGAGAAGGUUGCCAGCAUGGAAGAAGAGGGAUGUACAACUUCAGGAAGACAAAAGCAAACAUGGGGGAUCAUCAUCUUACAUUUAUUAGCAUCAUUCUAGAUGUGUUCAGAGAUCGUUGCAAAACUAAUUCCUCUCUUAUCCCUUCUCUAGUUAUCUGAAUGCUGUGAGUAGAAUAUGUAGUGGAAAAAGUAUUUCAAGCACCAGAAAAAUGAACUCAUAAGGAUGUAAAGGGCUUGUGGUAGAUGUUUAUACGUCCCUGCCUUGAAGUUGGAUUUAUUCAUGUGUUCCCUCCUGACUUGCAAGCAAUUUACUGCAUUUUUCUUUGCUUGGCCAUCUAUUCAGGCUGAACUGAGUGCCAAUUCUCCUCCUCAGUCCUCCAUUCCUGCAUCACCUACUUCUUGUGUGAGCCAGUAUCCUCCAAGAAACACUCCCUUGUGAAAAGCAGCUUCAUCCUGGCAUGCCCCACCUAAAUCAGGGAUUAUCAGGGAAUAUUAUUCCUCACCAAGACCUCACAAAAUAUUGUACAAAGACAUGGGUUCAUCUAAGCUUGUACAUAAGGAGCCUGUCUCUGGUGCUGCUGCAAAGAAUUAUGUCUGUCAGCACUUUCACGAGGAUGCUAAUCCACCUGAUGAUCAAUCCAGCACACCAGGCAGGGGACAAGGCACAAACCUGGGGGGGAAAAGUUAAUGACCUCUCUGCUUCUGCCCCCUGUGCAGGUGAUGUUUGUAGUCAGCACCAUUCUCUUGCACUCUGGCUGUCUUUAGCUCAUCGCUUCCCCAACCCAGAAACUGCAGACACUGCAUAAAAAAGCUCAGUGAAUUAUACUUUUUGCCUUUUUUUAUAUUUAAAUGAGAUUCAUGUUUAAAUCAGACUUUGGAGAGAGGUUCAAGGUUAAUUUUUUUUUUUUUUAAUCCAAAUAUGGCUCUCCCAUCCUUCAUUUCAACUGGCAAAGAUACCUCUGUUCUGCAUUUUCUGACAGUUCUGGCUUUAUCUUCACCAGAUGCUGAGUUACUUUGGACAUACUUAGCCUUUUUUCUCAGCUAAGAAAGUCAGCCUUAACAAAACAACAAAAAACCCAAAACCCCCCAAAACCAAAACGAAAACAACAACAACAAAAACCCCACCAAAAAAAAAAAAAAAAAA
ensembl:lncRNA